CCUUGGACAAUCUCCACCAGGUCCCACCUUGGUGCCCCUCAAUCUUCUUCAGAUCUUCCAGGUUUCACCUUGGUGACCCCAGUGUCCACCAGGUCCCACCUUGGGGUCCUCCAAGUUCCAGCAGGUCCCACCUUGGUGUCCCCACCCCUUCCAGGUCCCACCUUUGGUGUCCCCAAAUCUCCAGCAGGUUCUACCUUGGUGAUCUCAAACCUUCUCCAGGUCCCGUCUUGGUGUCCCCCAAGUCCCACCAGGUCCCACCUUGGUGACCUCCAGCUUCCAGCAGGACCCACCUUGGUGCCCUUCAAUCUUCUUCAGAUCCUCCACGUCCCACCUUGGUGACCCCAAACCUUCUCCAGGUCCCACCUUGGUGAGCCCAAACCUUCUCCAGGUCCCACCUUGGUGACCCCAAUGUCCAUCAGGUCCCACCUUGGUGACCACAAAUCUCCACCAGGUCCCACCUUGGUGACCCCAAACCUUCUCCAGGUCCCAUCUUGGUGACCCCAAAUCUCCACCAGGUCCCACCUUGGUGACCCCAAACUUCCUCCAGGUCCCACCUUGGUGACCCCAAACCUUCUCCAGGCUCCACCUUGGUGCCCCCAAUGUCCAUC